GAAGCUGACCAGACAGUCGCCGCUUCGUCGUCGUCCUCUUCGGGGGAGACGGGCGGAGGGGAGGAAAGUCCGGGCUCCAUAGGGCAGGGUGCCAGGUAACGCCUGGGGGGGAAACCCACGACCAGUGCAACAGAGAGCAAACCGCCGAUGGCCCGCGAAGCGGGAUCAGGUAAGGGUGAAAGGGUGCGGUAAGAGCGCACCGCGCGGCUGGUAACAGUCCGUGGCACGGUAAACUCCACCCGGAGCAAGGCCAAAUAGGGGUUCAUAAGGUACGGCCCGUACUGAACCCGGGUAGGCUGCUUGAGCCAGUGAGCGAUUGCUGGCCUAGAUGAAUGACUGUCCACGACAGAACCCGGCUUAUCGGUCAGUUUCACCU
rnacentral:RNase_P_RNA from 1 species